rnacentral:rRNA from 1 species
GCCUGACUGCGAGACUGACAGGUCGAGCAGAGUCGAAAGACGGCCAUAGUGAUCCGGUGGUCCCGAGUGGAAGGGCCAUCGCUCAACGAAUAAAAGGUACUCCGGGGAUAACAGGCUGAUACCGCCCAAGAGUUCACAUCGACGGCGGUGUUUGGCACCUCGAUGUCGGCUCAUCACAUCCUGGGGCUGAAGCCGGUCCCAAGGGUAUGGCUGUUCGCCAUUUAAAGUGGUACGCGAGCUGGGUUUAGAACGUCGUGAGACAGUUCGGUCCCUAUCUGCCGUGGACGUUGGAGAUUUGAGGAAAGCUGCUCCUAGUACGAGAGGACCGGAGUGGACGAACCGCUGGUGUUCGGGUUGUGUCGCCAGACGCAUUGCCCGGUAGCUAUGUUCGGACAGGAUAACCGCUGAAAGCAUCUAAGCGGGAAGCCCCUUCCAAGAUGAGAUCUCCCUGGACCCUUGAGGUCCCUGAAGAGCCGUUCAAGACCAGGACGUUGAUAGGUCGGGUGUGUAAGCGCUGCGAGGCGUUGAGCUAACCGAUACUAAUUGCUCGUGCGGCUUGAC